GUAACCUGCCCUUAACUCUGGGAUAAGCCUGGGAAACUGGGUCUAAUACCGGAUAUGACUCCUCAUCGCAUGGUGGGGGGUGGAAAGCUUUUUUGUGGUUUUGGAUGGACUCGCGGCCUAUCAGCUUGUUGGUGAGGUAAUGGCUCACCAAGGCGACGACGGGUAGCCGGCCUGAGAGGGUGACCGGCCACACUGGGACUGAGACACGGCCCAGACUCCUACGGGAGGCAGCAGUGGGGAAUAUUGCACAAUGGGCGCAAGCCUGAUGCGGCGACGCCGCGUGAGGGAUGACGGCCUUCGGGUUGUAAACCUCUUUCAGUAGGGAAGAAGCGAAAGUGACGGUACCUGCAGAAGAAGCGCCGGCUAACUACGUGCCAGCAGCCGCGGUAAUACGUAGGGCGCAAGCGUUAUCCGGAAUUAUUGGGCGUAAAGAGCUCGUAGGCGGUUUGUCGCGUCUGCCGUGAAAGUCCGGGGCUCAACUCCGGAUCUGCGGUGGGUACGGGCAGACUAGAGUGAUGUAGGGGAGACUGAAUUCCUGGUGUAGCGGUGAAAUGCGCAGAUAUCAGGAGGACACCGAUGGCGAAGGGCAGGUCUCUGGGC
rnacentral:rRNA from 1 species